UCUUAUGAAUGAGCAAAGAAAGUGGUUUCUUGAGAUGGAAUCUACUACUGGAGAUGCUGUGAA
rnacentral:pre_miRNA from 1 species